AUUGAACGCUGGCGGCAGGCCUAACACAUGCAAGUCGAGCGGAUGAGAGAAGCUUGCUUUUCGAUUCAGCGGCGGACGGGUGAGUAAUGCCUAGGAAUCUGCCUGUUAGUGGGGGACAACGUUUCGAAAGGAACGCUAAUACCGCAUACGUCCUACGGGAGAAAGUAGGGGCUCUUCGGACCUCACGCUAUCGGAUGAGCCUAGGUCGGAUUAGCUGGUUGGUGGGGUAAAGGCCCACCAAGGCGACGAUCCGUAACUGGUCUGAGAGGAUGAUCAGUCACACUGGAACUGAGACACGGUCCAGGCUCCUACGGGAGGCAGCAGUGGGGAAUAUUGGACAAUGGGCGAAAGCCUGAUCCAGCCAUGCCGCGUGUGUGAAGAAGGUCUUCGGAUUGUAAAGCACUUUAAGUCGGGAGGAAGGGCUGUAGGUUAAUACCCUGCGGUUUUGACGUUACCGACAGAAUAAGCACCGGCUAACUUCGUGCCAGCCGCCGCGGUAA
rnacentral:rRNA from 1 species